GGGUAUGGUAAAAAGCUGAUUCAAG
rnacentral:piRNA from 1 species